rnacentral:rRNA from 1 species
AUGCAAGUCGAGCGCAUUGUAGGUUGAAAUGAUAUGAAGAACUUGUUCAGAUUUGAUUUUAACAAUUGCAAUGAGUGGCGAACGGGUGAGUAACACGUGGGAAACCUACCUCUUAGCAGGGGAUAACAUUUGGAAACAAAUGCUAAUACCGUAUAAUAAUUAAAACCGACAUGGUUUUAGUUUAAAAGAUGGUCUUGCUAUCACUAAGAGAUGGUCCCGCGGUGUAUUAGUUAGUUGGUGAGGUAAUGGCUCACCAAGACAAUGAUACAUAGCCGAGUUGAGAGACUGACCAGCCACAAUGGGACUGAGACACGGCCCAUACUCCUACGGGAGGCAGCAGUAGGGAAUCUUCCACAAUGGACGAAAGUCUGAUGGAGCAACGCCGCGUGUGUGAUGAAGGGUUUCGGUCUCGUAAAACAACUGUUGUAAGAGAAGAAUGACAUUGAGAGUAACUGUUCAAUGUGUGACGGUAUCUUACCAGAAAGGAACGGCUAAAUACGUG